rnacentral:rRNA from 1 species
UACGAAGGGGGCUAGCGUUGUUCGGAAUUACUGGGCGUAAAGCGCACGUAGGCGGUCAUUUAAGUCAGGGGUGAAAUCCCAGAGCUCAACUCUGGAACUGCCUUUGAUACUGGGUGUCUAGAGUAUGGAAGAGGUGAGUGGAAUUCCGAGUGUAGAGGUGAAAUUCGUAGAUAUUCGGAGGAACACCAGUGGCGAAGGCGGCUCACUGGUCCAUUACUGACGCUGAGGUGCGAAAGCGUGGGGAGCAAACAGG